AUUGAACGCUGGCGGCAGGCCUAACACAUGCAAGUCGAACGGUAACAGGAAACAGCUUGCUGUUUCGCUGACGAGUGGCGGACGGGUGAGUAAUGUCUGGGAAACUGCCUGAUGGAGGGGGAUAACUACUGGAAACGGUAGCUAAUACCGCAUAACGUAGCAAGACCAAGGAGGGGGACCUUCGGGCCUCUUGCCAUCGGAUGUGCCCAGAUGGGAUUAGCUAGUAGGUGGGGUAACGGCUCACCUAGGCGACGAUCCCUAGCCGGUCUGAGAGGAUGACCAGCCACACUGGAACUGAGACACGGUCCAGACUCCUACGGGAGGCAGCAGUGGGGAAUAUUGCACAAUGGGCGCAAGCCUGAUGCAGCCAUGCCGCGUGUAUGAAGAAGGCCUUCGGGUUGUAAAGUACUUUCAGCGGGGAGGAAGGGAGUAAAGUUAAUACCUUUGCUCAUUGACGUUACCCGCAGAAGAAGCACCGGCUAACUCCGUGCCAGCAGCCGCCGUAA
rnacentral:rRNA from 1 species